CCUGGGGAUCGUUUCGGGUCCCGGGAUCAAAUGGGAAACUUUUGGGGGUCAUUUCGGGUCAUUUGAGGUGUGGAUCCCUGAUGGCGGUCGUGCUAUGUCGAUCUGGUGUCCGCGCUAAGUCGGGCGUCAAUAUGGUGCCUAGAGAGGAGUCUCGAGUCACCAGGUUGGUUAAAGAGGAGCGUACCGGCCCAGGGUGGAAACACAGCAGGCAAAAGCUCCCGCGUUCUACUGUAGUGGGAUAGCAUCUGUGAAUAGGCAACCGUCAAUAGCCAUGCCAAGAUGGUCGAACUCAUCUC
rnacentral:SRP_RNA from 2 species